rnacentral:piRNA from 1 species
UGAACUUGUGGCAGCCUGACAAACUUGC